AGUGAACGCUGGCGGUAGGCCUAACACAUGCAAGUCGAACGGCAGCACAGUAAGAGCUUGCUCUUACGGGUGGCGAGUGGCGGACGGGUGAGGAAUACAUCGGAAUCUACUUUCUCGUGGGGGAUAACGUAGGGAAACUUACGCUAAUACCGCAUACGACCUACGGGUGAAAGCAGGGGAUCUUCGGACCUUGCGCGAUUGAAUGAGCCGAUGUCGGAUUAGCUAGUUGGCGGGGUAAAGGCCCACCAAGGCGACGAUCCGUAGCUGGUCUGAGAGGAUGAUCAGCCGCACUGGAACUGAGACACGGUCCAGACUCCUACGGGAGGCAGCAGUGGGGAAUAUUGGACAAUGGGCGCAAGCCUGAUCCAGCCAUACCGCGUGGGUGAAGAAGGCCUUCGGGUUGUAAAGCCCUUUUGUUGGGAAAGAAAAGCAGCAGGUUAAUACCCCGCUGUUCCGACGGUACCCAAAGAAUAAGCACCGGCUAACUUCGUG
rnacentral:rRNA from 1 species